rnacentral:rRNA from 1 species
AGAACGAACGCUGGCGGCAUGCCUAACACAUGCAAGUCGAACGCUCUUGGGGCUUCGGUCUCAGGGGAGUGGCGCACGGGUGAGUAGCGCGUGGGAACCUGCCCUGUUGUGGGGGAUAACCGAGGGAAACUUCGGCUAAUACCGCAUGCGCCCGGGGGUAACUCCGGGGAAAGAUUUAUCGCAGAGGGAGGGCCCGCGUCGGAUUAGGUAGUUGGUGGGGUAACGGCCUACCAAGCCUGUGAUCCGUAGCUGGUCUGAGAGGAUGAUCAGCCACACUGGGACUGAGACACGGCCCAGACUCCUACGGGAGGCAGCAGUGGGGAAUAUUGGACAAUGGGCGCAAGCCUGAUCCAGCAAUGCCGCGUGAGUGAUGAAGGCCUUAGGGUUGUAAAGCUCUUUCGGCGGGACGAUGAUGACGGUACCCGCAGAAGAAGCCCGGCUAACUUCGCGCCAGCAGCCGC